rnacentral:lncRNA from 1 species
UAUUUAUGUCUGGACAUUUGCAUGUCUGGUUUGUGUUUGGUUUUAUUUUGGUUUUGUUUCUCCUUUCAGAAAUAGCUCCCAAAGCACAGCCCAAUUCAGUAGCUGCCGCUUGUACAAUACAGUGCGGAUAGACUGCGGGUCGUUGGGGUAGGUCGCGUUAUCUCUUCGUCUCCCUGGACUCCUAAUGAGGGUAAUGAUGUUCUUUCUCCUCGGCACCAAUCAGCAGGCGAUAUCCCUGCACAAAGCCUGCCUCGCUGCCCUCGGAGCUGUUCGUCUCUGGAACAGCGAGUUACGAGAGUCUCGAGUCUCCAAGGCGCAGGGAGGGCGCGCUUUGCCGUGCUAUACCUCAGCUCUUAAAGCAAAAUGGACACUGGUAGUAGGCAAAGCAGGAAGGAGGCAGAGCAGGGGCAGUGAUUUUGAGAACAUUUUCUUCAUAUUGCUGCUCUUGAAUAAUUCCAUUCCCGCAUCCUUAAGCGUGGAGCAAGCGAGGCCGCAGUUGUACGCGUGGGAUGAAAGGUCAGUGCGGCCUUUUGAUUUGUGCCCUGCAGUAGCACAGCUACACGUGGGCUGCCAAGCAAACGCCUCUUCCGUCUGCGUGCACUUAGUGGUCACAUCUGUGAACACCACCAGAUCGUCCAAUUACUUGGGGUCCUUUAACCCCCCUCCUGUUGGCAAAAUAGGGCUAUGAAAAAGCAUGCAUAAGCAGAUGGUCAGCAUGCAGGCAGGCUCCCUAAUAAGAUGAACCAGGUCAUAACAUAGAUUUGAAUUCACUUUAUUCUCAUUGCAAAUAAUUUUAUCACAAAAUAAAAAGCUAAGGAUUUUUUUUUUCUUCUGUUGC